rnacentral:rRNA from 1 species
UACGUAGGGUGCAAGCGUUGUCCGGAAUUAUUGGGCGUAAAGAGCUUGUAGGCGGUUUGUCGCGUUGUUCGUGAAAACUCACAGCUCAACUGUGGGCGUGCGGGCGAUACGGGCAGACUGGAGUACUGCAGGGGAGACUGGAAUUCCUGGUGUAGCGGUGGAAUGCGCAGAUAUCAGGAGGAACACCGGUGGCGAAGGCGGGUCUCUGGGCAGUAACUGACGCUGAGGAGCGAAAGCGUGGGGAGCGAACAGG